UACGAAGGGGGCUAGCGUUGCUCGGAAUCACUGGGCGUAAAGGGUGCGUAGGCGGGUUUUAAGUCAGGGGUGAAAUCCUGGAGCUCAACUCCAGAACUGCCUUUGAUACUGAGGAUCUUGAGUUCGGGAGAGGUGAGUGGAACUGCGAGUGUAGAGGUGAAAUUCGUAGAUAUUCGCAAGAACACCAGUGGCGAAGGCGGCUCACUGGCCCGAUACUGACGCUGAGGCGCGAAAGCGUGGGUAGCAAACGGG
rnacentral:rRNA from 1 species